AUGAGGGCCAGCGCAGUUACCAUCCUCUGGUACUUUGGCAUCCCUGUGCCUCUCAUGAUCACCACUCCUGUUGGAUUCUUCGGCUCAGAGGAGAGACUAUGGAUACCGUGCUCUGUGUAUUCAUGCGCCCCAGACAGAAAAAGCAAAUGCACCACUUUCUCCAUGGGGCAGCUGAGCAGGAAGCACAGAGCUGAGAGCUGCUGCUUGCAGACCCUGGCCUACCUACACAAGUCCAACCCAACAGAGCUUCUGGGUGGAGCAGGAAGCCUUCGAGGUGUAAGGGGCCAGGGGCUAAUUAUGAGAGCCAGAAGACAUCAGAGCCUCUGGCUGUGAGGAGACAGGCGUUUCUUUGGAAAUGAGAAACUCAACAUUGAACAGCUAUAUUCCUGCCUCUUGACUCCCUGCUGGCAGGUUUCUGCAGCUUCACCUUCAGCAGCAAAGAGAGGCGAGGAGGAGAGUUUAGUCUCACGUCCCCUCAGCUCCAGCCAUGUUCUUGGAUGUUCCCCCUCCUGCUGGUGUUUCCAGUGCAGCCUUUUUAUGUGGCAAAGUAGUGAAGGAACAGAAAACGUAAUUAGUCCUGGCUCGGGCACUACAUGGCAACUACUCAGCCUGAUUUUUUUUUCUCUGCAAAAUUGGAAUAAAUAAUUAACACUACAUCUGUGUCUUAUGAUUGUCAGAGAUUACAUGAGAAAAUGAGGGGAAAGCUUUGAAAACAUAAGUUGCAAUAAAAACAUAAAUGCCUCUAUUUUUCUGAAUGUAGUGUUUUCAGAUUUGUGUUCUGCUCUUAUGUCUACAUACUUGCUUCUACAUCUGCUUAUUAUGGAAUAACAGUUUAAUAGGAAGAUAAGAGAUAUUGAAAAACUUUGAAAGGCUACUUCCUAAAAACAACCUAAGAGGGCUGGAGAGAUGGCUCAGCAAUUAAGAGCACUUGACUGCCCUUCCAGAGGACCCAGGUUCAAUUCCCAGAUGCCACAUGGCAACUCACAACUCUUUGUAACUCCAGUUCCAGGAGAUCCUACAAUGUCUUUUGGUCUCUGAAGGCAAGCAGGCAUGUAUGAAGGCACAGACAAACACACAGUUGAAGCAUGUAUACAUAAAAUAAAAAUAUUAACGCCUAGGGAAGGGAGAAGGGAAGCAGUGAGACUUGUCUUCUCUUCAUCUGCUCUGUUUCCCCAGUGGACACGCUCUGCUUUUUUUUUUUUUUUUUUCUUUAGUUAGGGAAACCAAUACAGAUUUUUAAAUGGCUUAAGACAAUAUAGUCACACUAGAAAUAGUCAUUGGAAGUCACUCACACAGAGGUCGACAGCUGGGGCAAAGAGAACAGGGGAUUUAGAAAGAUAAGCAACUGUGAAAACAGCUUGAUUGGCAAAUCGGGACCAUGUUGUUAAAACUAUUGAAUGUCAGGCCAAUGAGCUUUUAAGUGGUGGAAGCCAUUGAAGGGUCUUGAGCAAAGGACUACUGUGAUCAGUAAUGUGAUUCUCAGAACAGUGUUUUAGGAAUAAUGAAAGUGGAUGAGAUGGCUCAGGCCUUGACAGCUAGCUGUCCUGAUUCUAAUCCCCAGAAUCCAUGUAAAGGUGGAAACAAAGAACCAACUCCUUCCACAUGUAUGCCAUGGGCACACACACACACACACACACACACACACACACACACACACACACACACACACACACACACACGCACGCACUUUUUUUUUCAUUUUUAUUUUUAGCUUUAUCCAUUUUACACAAACUUUUUUUGGAAAAAGAAUAAUGCAUAAGAUGACUUGAAGAAGAAAGAAAGACAAAACUAUAUGUAGUCAGUCAUGGUAGUGACAUUGAGGCUUCGAUGGAAAGACCUUGAGUUCAAGGCCAGUCUGGGCUAUACAGGAAGUCACUGUCUUUAAAUUACAUUACUGUUUUGUAGAAAGUGUUAUAUUCCAUUUCCAAUUGGUUUGACAGAGGUCUAAAUGGAAAGAGGGUGAGUCAGGGAGAACCACAGUCGGGUCUAAGAGAGGCAGCAGCUUGUAAGAAAAUAAUAAUGGCAUUGGGUUAUAACCCCAAUUACAGGUAUUAAUCCACACUGACAUACAUAAAUGGUUAAAUAAACAAAGGAGAAGGGACAAAUACUCCUUUUAGAAGAAUUCUAAUUAUAUAUGUACAUAUAUAAUUUCAUAAAAUAUAAUUAAUUAAAGUUUUAUAUUUGUAGAAAAUGAGAGAAAUAAAAAUUACAACUGAAACAUCAUAGUAACAAUAGCUGCUGUUAUGAUUCACUGACUGCUAAAUCUAGAGGGUGACACUUUAAGCAGAUCCAAGAUAUUUGAAUAGUUAUAUGACAUGCUUAUGUAUUAAUUACUGUUGUAGUUUUAAACAUGUAUCUAUCCUCACUUUCUUUGAUACUCCUCUCUCUAGGAGAUGGAAUCUAAUUCUCUUCCCCUUGAAUAUGGGCUGGACUAAGUGACUUGUUUCUGAUAAAGAGAAAACAGUAUGACAGAAAUAGUAAUUUCACAAUAGAGAGACCUGUCAAGUGCCACUCUAAGUGAUGAAGAUUAAUCCCACUGGCAGUGAGACCUGUAACUCCCAGUGUGCCAUCACAAGCACAUACACCUCCAGUGUAUUCUCCCCCACAAUUUAUAUAACCUGAACUAGCUACAAGAACCCUUAGGCAGGGGCUGGAGAAAUGACUCAGCAAUUAAGAUGAGUUAACUGAGGACCCAGAUUGAAUUCCAAGCCCCUACAUGGUGGCUUAUAGCCAUCUAUAACUCCAGUUCAAAGGGCUCCAUCGCCAUCUUCUGGCCUCCUCGGGUACUGCAUGCUCAUUAUGCACAUACAUACAGUCAGACAUAAAGGAAUAAAAUAAAGCAAAGUUUUAAAAUGAAACAUUAGGCAAACGAAAAAGACAUUCUAGGAAAUGCUUGACCAGGCAUUUUCUUGAUCUCAAAAAUCAAGAAAAGGAUCCUAGUAUAAAAACUGUAGAAAUUUACAUCAACUGUGUAGUUUAGUUAAUAGCAAUGUUCUAGUAUUAACUUCUUAGAGUUGAUCAUGUACCAUAGUUAAAUAAGAUGUUACCAUUAGGGGAAACUAGAUGAAGAACUGUCUGAAUUACCCCAGAGUGUAAGUAUAGCAUUGUUUCAGGGCUGGUAAAGAUGGCUCAGCAGGGGAAGGCACCUGUUGCCAAACCCAAUAAACUGAGUUUGACCCCCCAGGAUUUACACAAUAGAAGGAGAGAACCAACUUCUGGAAGUGGUCCUCUGACUUCCACAUGAUCACUGUAGCACACUGCCCACUCCCAUAAACAAAUAAAUGUAAUUUUACAAGAUUUUAAUUAUUUCAAAAUGAUUAAAUUUAAAAAUAUCCCCACCACCUGUGUGUGUGUGUGUGUGUGUG
rnacentral:lncRNA from 1 species